ACGUGGGGGACGUGGCGCACGGCUCAGUAGUACGCAGCUAACCUAACCUAAGGAGGGGGAUAAUCCCGGGAAACUGGGGCUAAUCCCCCAUAGACCUGAGGUACUGGAAGGUCCUCAGGUCGAAAUGGGUGGACUGGCAUGCCGGUUCACCUGCCUUAGGAUGGGGCUGCGUCCGAUCAGGUAGUUGGUGGGGUAAAGGCCCACCAAGCCUAUGACCGGUGCGGGCUCUGAGAGGAGGAGCCCGGAGAUGGACCCUGAGACAAGGGUCCAGGCCCUACGGGGCGCAGCAGGCGCGAGACCUUCGCAAUGCCCGAAAGGGUGACGAGGCUACCCCGAGUGUCGUCCGCUAAGGACGACUUUUGUCGGGUCUAAAAAGCCCGACGAAUAAGGGGAGGGCAAGUCUGGUGUCAGCCGCCGCGGUAAUACCAGCUCCCCGACUGGUCGGGACGAUUAUUGGGUCUAAAGCGUCCGUAGCCGGCCCUGUAUGUGGUCCGUUAAAUCCAGCGGCUCAACCGCUGGGCUGCGGAUCAUACUACGGGGCUAGGGGACGGGAGAGGCCGGGGGUAC
rnacentral:rRNA from 1 species